rnacentral:rRNA from 1 species
GACGAACGCUGACGGCGUGCUUAACACAUGCAAGUCGAACGGAAAGGCCCUGCUUUUGUGGGGUGCUCGAGUGGCGAACGGGUGAGUAACACGUGAGUAACCUGCCCUUGACUUUGGGAUAACUUCAGGAAACUGGGGCUAAUACCGGAUAGGAGCUCCUGCUGCAUGGUGGGGGUUGGAAAGUUUCGGCGGUUGGGGAUGGACUCGCGGCUUAUCAGCUUGUUGGUGGGGUAGUGGCUUACCAAGGCUUUGACGGGUAGCCGGCCUGAGAGGGUGACCGGCCACAUUGGGACUGAGAUACGGCCCAGACUCCUACGGGAGGCAGCAGUGGGGAAUAUUGCACAAUGGGCGGAAGCCUGAUGCAGCAACGCCGCGUGCGGGAUGACGGCCUUCGGGUUGUAAACCGCUUUCGCCUGUGACGAAGCGUGAGUGACGGUAAUGGGUAAAGAAGCACCGGCUAACUACGUGCCAGCAGCCGCGGUGAUACGUAGGGUGCGAGCGUUGUCCGGAUUUAUUGGGCGUAAAGGGCUCGUAGGUGGUUGAUCGCGUCGGAAGUGUAAUCUUGGGGCUUAACCCUGAGCGUGCUUUCGAUACGGGUUGACUUGAGGAAGGUAGGGGAGAAUGGAAUUCCUGGUGGAGCGGUGGAAUGCGCAGAUAUCAGGAGGAACACCAGUGGCGAAGGCGGUUCUCUGGGCCUUUCCUGACGCUGAGGAGCGAAAGCGUGGGGAGCGAACAGGCUUAGAUACCCUGGUAGUCCACGCUGUAAACGGUGGGUACUAGGUGUGGGGUCCAUUCCACGGGUUCCGUGCCGUAGCUAACGCUUUAAGUACCCCGCCUGGGGAGUACGGCCGCAAGGCUAAAACUCAAAGGAAUUGACGGGGCCCCGCACAAGCGGCGGAGCAUGCGGAUUAAUUCGAUGCAACGCGUAGAACCUUACCUGGGUUUGACAUGGAUCGGGAGCGCUCAGAGAUGGGUGUGCCUCUUUUGGGGUCGGUUCACAGGUGGUGCAUGGCUGUCGUCAGCUCGUGUCGUGAGAUGUUGGGUUAAGUCCCGCAACGAGCGCAACCCUUGUUCACUGUUGCCAGCACGUUAUGGUGGGGACUCAGUGGAGACCGCCGGGGUCAACUCGGAGGAAGGUGGGGAUGACGUCAAGUCAUCAUGCCCCUUAUGUCCAGGGCUUCACGCAUGCUACAAUGGCUGGUACAGAGAGUGGCGAGCCUGUGAGGGUGAGCGAAUCUCGGAAAGCCGGUCUCAGUUCGGAUUGGGGUCUGCAACUCGACCUCAUGAAGUCGGAGUCGCUAGUAAUCGCAGAUCAGCAACGCUGCGGUGAAUACGUUCCCGGG